rnacentral:rRNA from 1 species
AGAGUUUGAUCCUGGCUCAGGAUGAACGCUAGCGACAGGCUUAACACAUGCAAGUCGAGGGGCAGCACAGGGUAGCAAUACUUGGGUGGCGACCGGCGCACGGGUGAGUAACGCGUAUGCAACUUACCUAUCAGAGGGGGAUAACCCGGCGAAAGUCGGACUAAUACCGCAUGAAGCAGGGGCCCCGCAUGGGGAUAUUUGCUAAAGAUUCAUCGCUGAUAGAUAGGCAUGCGUUCCAUUAGGCAGUUGGCGGGGUAACGGCCCACCAAACCGACGAUGGAUAGGGGUUCUGAGAGGAAGGUCCCCCACAUUGGUACUGAGACACGGACCAAACUCCUACGGGAGGCAGCAGUGAGGAAUAUUGGUCAAUGGCCGAGAGGCUGAACCAGCCAAGUCGCGUGAAGGAAGAAGGAUCUAUGGUUUGUAAACUUCUUUUAUAGGGGAAUAAAGUGGAGGACGUGUCCUUUUUUGUAUGUACCCUAUGAAUAAGCAUCGGCUAACUCCGUGCCAGCAGCCGCGGUAAUACGGAGGAUGCGAGCGUUAUCCGGAUUUAUUGGGUUUAAAGGGUGCGUAGGUGGUGAUUUAAGUCAGCGGUGAAAGUUUGUGGCUCAACCAUAAAAUUGCCGUUGAAACUGGGUUACUUGAGUGUGUUUGAGGUAGGCGGAAUGCGUGGUGUAGCGGUGAAAUGCAUAGAUAUCACGCAGAACUCCGAUUGCGAAGGCAGCUUACUAAACCAUAACUGACACUGAAGCACGAAAGCGUGGGGAUCAAACAGGAUUAGAUACCCUGGUAGUCCACGCAGUAAACGAUGAUUACUAGGAGUUUGCGAUACAAUGUAAGCUCUACAGCGAAAGCGUUAAGUAAUCCACCUGGGGAGUACGCCGGCAACGGUGAAACUCAAAGGAAUUGACGGGGGCCCGCACAAGCGGAGGAACAUGUGGUUUAA